CCGAGACGAGAUCGGGGGGGGAUUCCCCUCCCCGCUGAUCGUAUCACCACCCUCCUUGACACGCACCGACGUCCUUCCUCGGCGGGGUCACACCCGCCGGCGGAACGUUAGCAAACCCUUUCGUGCAUACCAGCAGUAUACCGUUCCGAUGAGAAAUUCAAUCGUUA
rnacentral:misc_RNA from 1 species